CCGACCGUCGACCAGCGUCCUUCAAACAGUCCUACCAGACAAAAACGAAAAGCUACCGGACAAAACGAGAAGCGGUCGCUUGAUGAAAGCGAAAAGGGUGAAUAAAAAUGAAAACGCUUUGUUCUGUGGUCCUAAACAAAAAGAAAGAAUUUCAAUGGCAAAGGGUUGUUCUUUUUCUAAGAAUAGGUGCAAUGAGUGCAAUGGAAGAAUUGAAGCUUAUAGGGAACUAUCUGAAAGGUUCCCGUCCAAUUUGACAUUUUCAUCGAAUUUUGAUAAAGAUGUCCUCUGAAAACUUCUGAAGGAAAUGAUUAUUCAGGUUGUUGCUUCAAGAAUUAUUUGGUGAAACUUACUACGAGGCUUCGUGAAGUAUUUAACACUCGUAAAGAAGUAAUUAUUGAGGGUUAGAACAUAAUUUAAUGUUCUAGAGUCUUAUAGUUAGUAAUUUUAUUUAUCUUUGUAAAUUGAGAGUAGUUUGUGGAAAGACAUGAAUAGUCAUACUACUUGUAAAUUAUGUAUAUAUAUAACUUAUUGUUGAAGAAUGAAAUUGUUGUUCGAGAGUUUAUUUUGCUGACAAA